rnacentral:rRNA from 1 species
CCAGCUCCAAUAGCGUAUAUUAAACUUGUUGCAGUUAAAAAGCUCGUAGUUGAACUUCUGCCGCCAGGACUUUCGUUCCCUUUGGGGUUUCGCUAUCCUGGUGGCAUUCCUCCGGUUAAUUUGAGCUUCGGCUCCUCUUUUUCCGGCUUUACUUUGAGAAAAUUAGAGUGUUUCAAGCAGGCUUUUGCCUUGAAUACUUCAGCAUGGAAUAAUAAAGUAGGACUUUGGUUCUAUUUUGUUGGUUUCAGAGCCAAAGUAAUGGUUAAUAGGAACAGUUGGGGGCAUUCGUAUUUAACUGUCAGAGGUGAAAUUCUU